UGAAAUUCCAUGUUUUGGUCUGAACAACAUACCCAAAUAAAAAGUGGUACAGCUCCCAUAUACUUUGACACUCUGGGGUAUGCUUGAUAUCAUUGGAAAGGUGAUUGAUGUUGGGUUUGAUUGUG